ACAGAGGGUGCGAGCGUUAAUCGGAAUUACUGGGCGUAAAGCGUAUGUAGGCGGCUAGGUAAGUUGGAUGUGAAAGCCCAAGGCUUAACCUUGGAAUUGCAUUCGAUACUGCCUAGCUAGAGUACAGUAGAGGAAAGCGGAAUUCCUAGUGUAGCGGUGAAAUGCGUAGAUAUUAGGAGGAACACCAGUGGCGAAGGCGGCUUUCUGGACUGAUACUGACGCUGAGGUACGAAAGCGUGGGGAGCAAACAGG
rnacentral:rRNA from 1 species